CCCUUAGAUGUUUGGGGCCGCACGCGCGCUACACUGAAGGACUCAACGUGUGUCUCACCUGGCCCGGGAGGGCUGGGUAACCCGUUGAACCUCUUUCGUGCUAGGGAUUGGGGCUUGUAAUUCUUCCCCAUGAACGAGGAAUUCCCAGUAAGCGCGAGUCAUCAGCUCGCGUUGAUUACGUCCCUGCCCUUUGUACACACCGCCCGUCGCUACUACCGAUUGGAUGGUUUAGUGAGAUCCUCGGAUUGGACCCGGCAUGGUGGGUUACCGCCGCGCCGGCGUGCCGAGAAGACGAUCAAACUUGAUCAUCUAGAGGAAGUAAAAGUCGUAACA
rnacentral:rRNA from 1 species